GUGUAGAUUUUGAUGGCUUGUUAUCUCUGAUUUGCUUUCAGAAGCAGUGGAGUUGUACGACGAUGAUCGAACUGACGAUGGCCCCGCGGACACAUUAGCCAUUGCUCCUGGGGGUAACGGGUCUCCAAUACUCUGGCGUGUAUCUGGUAACUUCGAAGGAGCAGAUGGCCUAACAUAUGGAGGUGGUCCAACGUUUACUGCAGGACGUUGAGUGACUGAGAUACUAGGAGACGGUGAUGUUAUGUUAGGGUGC